AACGAACGCUGGCGGCAGGCUUAACACAUGCAAUUCGAGCGCCCCGCAAGGGGAGCGGCAGACGGGUGAGUAACGCGUGGGAAUCUACCCAUCUCUACGGAAUAACGCAUGGAAACGUGUGCUAAUACCGUAUACGUCCUUCGGGAGAAAGAUUUAUCGGAGAUGGAUGAGCCCGCGUUGGAUUAGCUAGUUGGUGGGGUAAAGGCCUACCAAGGCGACGAUCCAUAGCUGGUCUGAGAGGAUGAUCAGCCAAACUGGGACUGAGACACGGCCCAGACUCAUACGGGAGGAGGCAGUGGGGAAGAUUGGACAAUGGGCGCAAGCCUGAUCCAGCCAUGCCGCGUGAUUGAUGAAGGCCCUAGGGUUGUAAAGCUCUUUCGCCGGUGAAGAUAAUGACGGUAACCGGAGAAGAAGCCCCGGCUAACUUCGUGCCAGCCGACGCAGUAAAAC
rnacentral:rRNA from 1 species